UGAUUUGAGAGAAAUAAACUUUAUUGCCACAAGAUAACUGUGGUAAUUCUAGAGCUAAUAUUUGUAAGAAUGCUGUGACUUUGGAAGCAGCGGAUUUAUUAGAUCAAAACUAACCUGUCUGCAAAGACGGUUUUUUGAUGACUCUGGAUAACUUUACUAAUCGAACAACCUUAGCGUUGACGGUGAAUCUCUUGAAAUGGCUGACCUAUCAACUUUCGAUGGUAAGAUCAAAGCUUACCAUGGUUGUAACGGGUAACGGGGAAUCAGUGUUCGAUUCCGGAGAGGGAGCCUGAGAAACGGCUACCACAUCCACGGAAGGCAGCAGGCGCGUAAAUUACCCAAUACCGGCUCGGUGAGGUAGUGACAAAAAAUAACAAUAUGGGCCCUAGUGGUUUCAUAAUUGCAAUGAGAAUAUUUUAAAUACUUUAUCAAGUAUCAAUUGGAGGGCAAGUCUGGUGCCAGCAGCCGCGGUAAUUCCAGCUCCAAAAGCGUAUAUUAAAGUUGUUGCAGUUAAAAAGCUCGUAGUUGAAAUUGGGGAAUCUAAAUGAAUUGAAAUCUUUGAUUGAAAUUUAUUUGGUCCUUGUUGUCAUGUAUAUUAUUCUGGUACUUUACUGUAUUAGUUUAAUAACUGACUAGUUUACUUUGAAAAAAUUAGAGUGCUUAAAGCAGGCUUAUGCUUGUAUAUUGUUGCAUGGAAUAAUAAAAUAGGACUUCGGUUUUAUUUUGUUGGUUUUCGAAACUGAAGUAAUGAUUAAAAGAGACUGCCGGGGGCAUGUGUAUGCUGAUGUUAGAGGUGAAAUUCUUAGAUCAUCAGCAGACAAACUACUGCGAAAGCAUUUGCCAAGAAUGUUUUCAUUAAUCAAGAACGAAAGUCAGAGGAUCGAAGACGAUCAGAUACCGUCCUAGUUCUGACCAUAAACUAUGCCAACUGACAGUUAGUUAAGGUAUAUUCAUAUCCUUGCUAGAAGUCACCGGGAAACCUAAGUCUAUGGGUUCCGGGGGAAGUAUGGUUGCAAAGCUGAAACUUAAAGGAAUUGACGGAAGGGCACCACAAGGAGUGGAGCCUGCGGCUUAAUUUGACUCAACACGGGAAAUCUCACCCGGUCCGGACACUGUGAGGAUUGACAGAUUGAUAGCUCUUUCUUGAUUCGGUGGGUGGUGGUGCAUGGCCGUUCUUAGUUGGUGGAGCGAUUUGUCUGGUUAAUUCCGAUAACGAACGAGACUCGAGCCUGCUUUUUAGUGUAUCUGUGUUAAAUCGCAGAUAAUUCACUUCUUAGAGGAAUAAAUAGCGUUUAGCUAAAUGAAAAUGAGCAAUAACAGGUCUGUGAUGCCCUUAGAUGUCCGGGGCCGCACGCGCGCUACAAUGUCAGUAACAACGAGUUUUUCCUAACUAGAAAUGGUUGGGUAAUCUGUUGAAUCACUGUCGUAUCAGGAAUAGUGGAUUGAAAUUUUUUCACUUGAACGAGGAAUUCCUAGUAAGCGCAAGUCACUAACUUGCGCUGAUUACGUCCCUGCCCUUUGUACACACCGCCCGUCG
rnacentral:rRNA from 1 species